UGAUGUUAUAUCUAUACACUUUUUUUUUUUAAAUUACCAUUUAUUAUUUUACUUUUUCACCAGCAUGGGCACAGCUGUCAGUUCAGGCUGUCACCCUGCUGGCAACACCGUGAACACCUAUUGCGGCCAUGUGACCACUGUCACAUAGCCUCUGGGGAGUCCUCAGUUAGAGGGAGGGGGAUUGUCAAACCUAAGUUUUAGGUUUGAUAUUUAAUGUGUGGGAAAGGACCUCAGGGUAGAGUUCACAGGGAAUAAG